UACGAAGGGGGCUAGCGUUGUUCGGAAUUACUGGGCGUAAAGCGCACGUAGGCGGACUGUUAAGUCGGGGGUGAAAUCCUGGGGCUCAACCUCAGAAUUGCCUCCGAUACUGGCAGUCUCGAGUGCGGGAGAGGUGAGUGGAAUUCCCAGUGAUAGAGGUGAAAUUCGUAGAUAUUGGGAAGAACACCAGUGGCGAAGGCGGCUCACUGGCCCGUAACUGACGCUGAGGUGCGAAAGCGUGGGGAGCAAACAGG
rnacentral:rRNA from 1 species